rnacentral:rRNA from 1 species
ACAGCCCCGUACACAAAAGCUCACAUGCUGUGAGCUCGAUGAGUAGGGCGGGACACGUGGUAUCCUGUCUGAAUAUGGGGGGACCAUCCUCCAAGGCUAAAUACUCCUGACUGACCGAUAGUGAACCAGUACCGUGAGGGAAAGGCGAAAAGAACCCCGGCGAGGGGAGUGAAAAAGAACCUGAAACCGUGUACGUACAAGCAGUGGGAGCACAGGUUUACCUGUGUGACUGCGUACCUUUUGUAUAAUGGGUCAGCGACUUAUAUUCUGUAGCAAGGUUAACCGAAUAGGGGAGCCGUAGGGAAA